rnacentral:lncRNA from 1 species
UUUCCUUUAGUCAGCAUUAGGGUUCUAAACCCUAAACUGAACUUUUUCAUUUAGUCAGCAUUAGGGUUUUAAACCCUGAACUCUUUCCUUUAGUCAGCAUUAGGGUUUUAAACCCUAAACUGAACUUUUUCCCUGUAAUCAGCAUUAGGGUUUUAAACCCUAAACUGAACUUUCUCUGUAGUCAGCAUUAGGGUUUUAAACCCUAAACUGAACUCUUUCCUUCAGUCAGCAUUAGGGUUUUAAAACCCUAAACUGAACUUUUUCCUUUAGUCAGCAUUAGGGUUUUAAACCCUAACCUGAACUCUUUCCUUCAGUCAGCAUUAGGGUUUUAAACCCUAAACUGAACUCUUUCCUUCAGUCAGCAUUAGGGUUUUAUAACCCUAAACUGAACUUUUUCCUUUAGUCAGCAUUAGGGUUUUAAAAACUAAACUGAACUCUUUCCUUCAGUCAACAUUAGGGUUUUAAACCCUAAACUGAACUUUUUUCCUUUAGUCAGCAUUAGGGUUUUAAACCCUAAACUGAACUUUUCCCAUUUAGUCAGCAUUAGGGUUUUAAACCCCUAAACUUUUCCCAUUUAGUCAGCAUUAGGGUUUUAAACCCUAAACUGAACUUUU